UACAGAAGAUUUGGAAUAAGCAAAAAAGCUUUAAAUCAAUAGUCUAAACUGCUUGAUUUAAAGC
rnacentral:sRNA from 18 species